GACGUAGGGGGCCAGCGUUGUUCGGAAUUACUGGGUGUAAAGGGUUCGUAGGCGGUGUAGCAAGUCGGGAGUGAAAUCUCUGGGCUUAACCCAGGAGGCUGCUUCCGAAACUGCUGUGCUUGAGUGUGGGAGAGGCGCGUGGAAUUGCAGGUGUAGCGGUGAAAUGCGUAGAUAUCUGCAGGAACACCCGUGGCGAAAGCGGCGCGCUGGACCACUACUGACGCUGAGGAACGAAAGCUAGGGAGCAAACAGG
rnacentral:rRNA from 1 species